UUGGAGGGCAGUCUGGUGCAGCAGCCGCGGUAAUUCCAGCUCCAAUAGCGUAUAUUAAAGUUGUUGCAGUUAAAAAGCUCGUAGUUGAAUUUCGGGGUUAGCAAGUUGGUCGUGCCAAUGGUAUGUACUGGCUCGCUGAUUCCUCCUUCUUGUAGAACCGUAAUGCCAUUAAUUUAGUGUUGCGGGGAAACAGGACUGUUACUUUGAAAAAAUUAGAGUGUUUAAAGCAGGCUAGCGCCUGAAUGCAUUAGCAUGGAUAAUGAAAUAGGACGUUCGGACCUAUUUUGUUGGUUUCUAGGAUUGACGUAAUGAUUAAUAGGGAUAGUUGGGGGCAUUAGUAUUCAAUUGUCAGAGGUGAAAUUCUUGGAUUUAUUGAAGACUGACUACUGCGAAAGCAUUUGCCAAGGAUGUUUUCAUUAAUCAAGAACGAAAGUUAGGGGAUCGAAGACGAUCAGAUACCGUCGUAGUCUUAACCAUAAACUAUGCCGACUAGGGAUCGGAUGAUGUUAAUUUUUUAAUGACUCAUUCGGCGCCUUACGGGAAAC
rnacentral:rRNA from 1 species